rnacentral:tRNA from 2 species
GGCGGCAUAGCCAAGUGGCUAAGGCGACGGUCUGCAAAACCGUUAUUCCCGGGUUCAAAUCCCGGUGCCGCCUCCA